rnacentral:tRNA from 1 species
GGCGCGUUGGAGAAGCGGCUUAACUCACCAGCCUUUCACGCUGGCAUCCACGGGUUCGAAUCCCGUACGCGUCACCA